ensembl:lncRNA
GGUGUGAGGAAGUGCUAUUAGAAUAUCAUUUGUGUAACUUUUUUGGGAGGGGUAAUUUGACAGUAUUAGAGGUUUAAGUGCUUUGAUUCAGCAAUUUAAAUACCAGGAAAUUGUCCAACCAAGUUAUUUUUUGCACCAAUAAGCAGUGAUUUACCUACAAAGGUGUUUAUUGCAGCGUUUUGUGUGUGUGUGUGGGUGGCCAGGAAAAAAGAAGAAACAAUCUAAUUGCCCAUCAAUAGAGGAUCUUAAAUAAGUUAUAUAUUAAUAUGAUGGGAUAUUAUCAAUUUUAAAAUGAGUAGAUAUAGGGAGCUCCCCUUGAGGCUCGGUGGUAAUGAACCUGACUAGUAUCCAUAAGGAUGCCUUUCCAUCCCUGGCCUUGCUCAGUGGGUUAAAGAAUCCAGCAACGGUUGUGUAGGCUGGCAGCUGUAGCUCUGAUUGACACCUAGCCAGGUAACUUUCAUAUGCUGCAGGCAUGACUCUAAAAAGCAAAAAAAGCAAAAGCAAAAAAAAAAAAAAAUAGAUAUAAUGUGCUAAUAUAGAUCAAAUUCAUACCUUAUGGACCUAUCCAGUGGGUCUAAUGUAGGUUCUUAUUCCCUCUCUAACCUGUAACUUUCUAUCAUUUCCCUGGACAUUUCCUUCCUAGUAUUUAUCAUACUGAUAUUAUCUAUGCUCACGUAUUUAUAUUUCCUACCCCAUUAGAAUGUAAAGUCCACAAGGGCAUAGAUUGUUUCUUGUUCACUCCUAUGCCUCCAUUACCCAGAAUAGUACCUAGCACAUAGUAGAUAUCCAAUAAUAUGUGUUGAAUAGAUGAAUAGGGAACAAAUGAAUGGAAACAAGGAUAAAAGGAAAGGUGUAGGAUUACAAAUAGAAGAGGGUAAAAAGGGAAUGGGAAGAAUUAUGUUUUGGUAGGAGAGGAAAGGGUGGAUAUAAUGAUAUCAGAAGUAGCCUCAUCUUAACCAUUGCUGACUUUUGGGCCUAAAUCCUGUGCCGUGGUACAGUGGAAACUUUUUAUUAUUUUUUUUUUUUUUGGUCUUUUUUCUUUUUAGGGCCACACCCAUGGCAUAUGGAGGUUCCCAGGCUAGGGGUCUAAUCUGAGUUGCAACUGCCAUCCUAUGCCAGAUCCUUAACCCACUGAGCAAGGCCAGGGAUCGAACCUGCAACCUCAUGGUUCCUAGUUAGAUUCGUUUCCGCUGCCCCACCAUGGGAACUCCCGACAGUGGAAACUUUUUACAAGUUUUGGAAUGAAAUCAUACCCUUUUCUGCUUUCUUAUUUUGGAUAAUAAAUAUAAUUCCUUGAGAAUUGCUUUGGGUCAUAAUUAGCCUCCCACAUACAUAGAAAUAGCCAGCUGAAACUCUAAGGAGCAAAUUAAUUUUUCCUGAAUAGAAAUUACUUUAAAAUGGGAGCAUAUGGACUUCCAGAAUGCCCAAGGGUAGUCCUGUGGAAUCAUUAAGUAUUUAACCUACAAGUGCCAGUGAGUCAAAGCAGCAAUCAGAGAGUAACAUGAGUUUAACUCAGGAACUCUAAAGUUUGUGAAAUAGGUUUCAUGUCUGGGUCUAAAUCCCAAAUGACUUCAAGAUUAUUAAAAGCUGUUUAAUUGCAAUUUAAUUUCUUCCCUGGAAGCAUUUUCAUACUUGGGGAAUAGUCUCAAGGAGUGUGUAUUCUUAAAGAAAUACUCAAAUUGCCAGCUUCUGUUUUGUAUUGUCAUGCAGAGACCACAGAUCUUAUAACACACUACUUCUUUUUUGAAUUACUUGUAGAGUGUUAUACAUCACAAUAGUUUUCUUAUGGCAUCUGAAUUUGAGGUGAAUAGAUCCACUAUAUUUUCUUUUUAAAUGUGUGUAAGGGAGUUCCCGUUGUGGCUCAGUGGAAACAAAUCUGACUACAUCCAUGGGGACACAGGUUUGAUCCCUGGCCUCCCUCACUGGGUUAAGGAUCUGGCCACAGCUCAAGGCAACGCCGGAUCGUUAACCGUGAGCAAGGGCAGGGACCGAACCCGCAACCUCAUGGUUCCUAGUCAGAUUCGUUAACCACUGUGCCAUGACGGGAACUCCAACUAUGAAUAUUUUUAUUUGUUUUUAUUUUUUAUUUUAUUUUUUGUCUUUUUGCCUUUUCUUGAGCUGCUCCCGCGGCAUAUGGAGAGGUUCCCAGGCUAGGGGUUGAAUCGGAGCUGUAGCCUCCGGCCUACACCAGAGCCACAGCAACGCGGGAUCCAAGCCACAUCUGUGACUUACACCACAGCUCACAGCAACGCCGGAUCCUUAACCCACUGAGCAAGACCAGGGAUCAUACCUGCAACCUCAUGGUUCCUAGUCAGAUUCAUUAACCACUGCGCCACGACAGGAACUCCAAGAUUUUGCUACUUUUAAAAAUCCAUUUCUUUUAUUCAUUUGCUGGAGUAUUUGGAAACAAAAUCUUAGACAUUAGAUCAUUUCUGCUACAUAACUUUAAUAUGCAUCUCUAGACAGUGUUAAUAUUUGGCUUCCAUAAACAUAAGGGUAUUAUUGUAUCUUUCAAAGUUAAUUACUUGGUAUUCUCUAAUACCCAAAUCAUAAUCAGAUUUCCCAAAAUAGUGUUAAAUAUUCUAUUUAAGUUGGUUUGUCUGAAUCAGUGUCUCAGCAAAGUCCAUGUAUUACAUUUGGUUGUCAAGUCUUAUAUCUGUUAAUCUAGGGAGCAUUUCUCCUCCCCUCCUUCCUUUUUUUUUUUUUUUUUUUUUAAAUGUUAUCAUUUUGUUGCACAAGUAGCUUAGUUUUCCUAUAAAAUGUCUCAUGUUCUAGACAUGUCUGUUUGCUUCCUUGCGGUGUCAUUAACAAGCUUCUUUAUCCACCAUAAAGUGAAGUUAGCUCUAGAAUAACACUGCUCUGUAAUGAUGGAAAUAGUCUAUUUUCACUAUCAAGUACAAUAGCCACUAGCCAGAUGUGGCUGGUGGGCACUUUAAAUGUGGCUAGUAUGAGUGAGGAACUGAAUUUUAAAUUUUAUUUCAUUUUAGAUAAUUUAAAUUUAGCCACCUGUGGCUUCCUGAUUAGACUGUGAAACUCUAGUGGCUUGCUUGCUUAUUUAUUUAUUUAUUUAUUUAUUUAUUUAUUGUCUUUUUGCCUUUCCUAGGGCCACUUCCGCGGUAUAUGGACGUUCCCAGGCUAGGAGUCGAAUCAAAGCUGUAGCCGCCAGCCUACGCCAGAGCCACAGCAAUGCGGGAUCCAAGCCUCAUCUGCAACCUAGACCACAGCUCACGGCAACGCCAGAUCCUUAACCCACUGAGCAAGGCCAGGGAUUGAACCUGCAACCUCAUGGUUCCUAGUUGGAUUCGUUAACCUCUGCGCCACGACGGGAUCUUCUAGUGGCUCAUUUAGAUUCAACUUCAACUUCCUUGACAAAAGUGCUUCAUAGGUGCAUCCUAUAUCACAUACGAAGAAGACGUUAGAUGUCACCUUUAAUAAUGUUAAGGUUGAUCAAUGGCUUCAUAUGGUGACAGGCUGAUCCCCUAAUGUGAAUUUCCCUCAAAGAAUAUGAUUUUAACAUUAAGAUUUUUUUUUUCCACUGUACAGCAUGGGGACCAAGUUACACAUACAUAUAUACAUUUUUUUUCUUCCCACUGUUCUAUUGCGAUGUAAGUAUCUAGUCAUAGUUCUCAAUAUCUACACAGCUGGAUCUCAUUGUAAAUCCAUUUCAAGAGCAAUAGUUUGCAUCCGAUAACCCCAAGCUCCCAAUCCCUCCCACUCCCUCCCUCUCCCCUCCCGGGCAGCCACAAGUCUGUUCUCCAAGUCCAUGAUUUUCUUUUCUGUGGAAAGGUUCAUCUGUGCCGUAUAUUAGAUUCCAGAUAUGUGAUAUCAUAUGGUAUUUGUCUUUGUCUUUCUGACUUAUUUCACUCAAGAUGAGAGUCUCUAGUUCCAUCCAUGUUGCUGCAAAUGGCGUUACAUCGUUCUUUUUUAUGGCUGAGUAGUAUUCCAUUGUGUGUAUAUACCACAUCUUCCUAAUCCAAUCGUCUGUCAAUGGACAUUUGGGUUGUUUCCAUGUCUUGGCUAGUGUGAAUAGUGCUGCAAUGAACAUGUGGGUGCCUGUGUCUCUUUUAAGAAGAGUUUUGUCCAGAUGUAUGCCCAAGAGUGGGAUUGUGGGGUGAUAUGGUAGUUCUAUGUAUAGAUUUCUAAGGUAUCUCCAAACUGUUCUCCAUAGUGGUGUACCAGUUUACAUUCCCACCAAUAGUGCAGGAGGGUUCCCUUUUCUCCACAGCCCCUCCAGCACUUGUUAUUUUUGGACUUCUUAGUGAUGGCCAUUCUGACUGGUGUGAGGUGGUAUCUCAUGGUAGUUUUGAUUUGCAUUUCUCUUAUUAUCAGGGAUGUUGAGCAUUUUUUCAUGUGUUUGUUGUCCAUCUGCACAUCUUCCUUGGAGAACAGUCUAUUCAGGUCUUUUGCCCAUUUUUCCAUUGGGUGGUUGGCUUUUUUGCUGGUGAGUUGUAUAAGUUUCUGGUAUAUUCUAGAGAUUUAGCUCUUGUCCGUUGCAUCAUUUGAAACUAUUUUCUUCCAUUCUGUAAGUUGUCUUUUUGUUUUCUUUUUGGUUUCCUUUGCUGUGAAAAAGCUUUUCAGUUUGAUUAGGUCCCAUUGGUUUAUUUUUGCUCUUAUUCCUGUUGCCUUGGGAGACUGACCUGAGAAAAUAUUCAUGAUGUUGAUGUCAGAGAGUGUUUUGCCUAUGUUCUCUUCCAGGAGUUUGAUGAUGUCUUGUCUUAUAUUUAAGUCUUUCAGCCAUUUGGAGUUUAUUUUUGUGCAUGGUGUGAGGGUGUGUUCUAGUUUCAUUGUUUUGCAUGCAGCUGUCCAGUUUCCCAGCAAUGCUUGCUGAAUAGACUUUCUUUUUCCAAUAUUAUGCUCUUGCAUCCCAAAGAUUAAUUGACCAUAGGUGUCAGGGUUUAUUUCUGGGUUCUCUAUUCUGUUCCAUUGGUCUGUCUGUCUGUUUUGAUACCAGUACCACACUGUUUUGAUGACUGUGGCUUUGUAAUGUUGCCUGAAGUCUGGGAGAGUUAUGCCUCCUGCUUGGUUUUUGUUUCUCAAGAUUACUUUGGCAAUUCUCAGUGUUUUGUAGUUCCAUAUAAAUUUUUGGAUCUUUUGUUCUAGUUCUGUGAAAAAUGUCAUGGUAAUUUGAUAGGGAUUUCAUGGAAUCUGUAGAUUGCUUUGGGUAGUAUGGCCAUUUUUACAAUAUUGAUUUUCCCAAUCCAGGAACAUGGAAUAUCUUUCCAUUUCUUUACAUCUUCUUUAAUUUCUUUAACGUUUCAUAGUUCUUGGCCUAUAAGUCCUUUACCUCCUUAGUCAGGUGUAUUCCCAGGUAUAUGACUUUUUUGGGGUGCAAUUUUAAAAGAUAUUGUAUUUUUGUAUUCCUUUUCUAAUAUUUCGUUGGUAUACAGAAAUGUGACUGAUUUCUGAAUGUUAAUCUUAUAUCCUGCUACUUUGCUGAAUUUUUAACAUUAAGAUUUUUUGAAAGGAGUUCCCUUGUGGUGCAGUGAGUUAAGGAUCCAGUAUCCUCACUGCUGUGGCUCUGGUCAUUGCUGUGACACAAGUUCAAUCCCUGGCCCAGGAACUUCAACAUGCUGUGGGUGCAACCAAAAAAAAGAAAAGAUUUUUUUUUUAAAUAUAAACUUCAUCUUUACGCAGUUUAUGAGAACCAAGGAAAGAGCCCAUGUAGCUCAUUAUGUUCUUUUGUAUAUUUAUAGUCAAAGUCAGAAAGGUAAAUUUUUUUCCUCUGUAUAUCAGACUGUGAGAAAACUAAGCUGUUAAAGAACAUUUCAGAGAAAGACUUUGAAGAAGGCCAAACAGAAAACAAAAUUAGUUUCUGAGUCUUGAGGCUGGGUCUGCACUUAAAAAAAAAAAAAAAAAAAAAA